CCUACGGGAGGCAGCAGUGAGGAAUAUUGGUCAAUGGGCGUAAGCCUGAACCAGCCAAGUCGCGUGAGGGAUGAAGGUUCUAUGGAUCGUAAACCUCUUUUAUAAGGGAAUAAAGUGUGGGACGUGUCCUAUUUUGUAUGUACCUUAUGAAUAAGGAUCGGCUAACUCCGUGCCAACAGCCGCGGUAAUACGGAGGAUCCGAGCGUUAUCCGGAUUUAUUGGGUUUAAAGGGUGCGUCGGCGGCCUUUUAAGUCAGCGGUGAAAGUCUGUGGCUCAACCAUAGAAGUGCCGUUGACACGGGGGGGCGUGAGUGUGUUUGAGGGAGGCGGAAUGCGGGGUG
rnacentral:rRNA from 1 species